GUGAUCGGCCACACUGGGACUGAGACACGGCCCAGACUCCUACGGGAGGCAGCAGUAGGGAAUCUUCCGCAAUGGACGAAAGUCUGACGGAGCAACGCCGCGUGAGUGAUGAAGGCUUUCGGGUCGUAAAACUCUGUUGUUAGGGAAGAACAAGUGCUAGUUGAAUAAGCUGGCACCUUGACGGUACCUAACCAGAAAGCCACGGCUAACUACGUGCCAGCAGCCGCGGUAAUACGUAGGUGGCAAGCGUUAUCCGGAAUUAUUGGGCGUAAAGCGCGCGCAGGUGGUUUCUUAAGUCUGAUG
rnacentral:rRNA from 1 species